GUGAAAGACACGUGAAGAAAACCCUCAGAGGAGCAACACAUCAGUCAGUGUAAAAUUUAAGCCUAAACUUUUUCACAGUAAGUUGACCACCAUGGCACAAGAGUUGGGCCUUUCGGACUACGCCAAUACAUAUGAGCUUGGACGAUUCAACACGACACAAAAAAACAGCAACAGGAAAACUGAACAACCAGAAAGAAGACUCCUCAGAAUAGGGAUUUUAACAUUAGGAGUGUUGUGUGUCAUACAAGCCGCUCUUAAUAUCUCCCUACGAGCUGCCUUUUAUUCAAAUGAGGAUAUCGAUCAGUUCUCUUUCAACGGCUCUGUGAUAGCAGACUUCUGCCAGAUUGACCAGUCUCAACAGAAUUCAACCCAGUUAUGUUGCUGCUGCAACGACCUGCUGAGAAAACUACUGAAGGAAUAUCAGAACCUCAAAACAGAAAGAGACUUUUUACUGGACAAGGUCAGUGAACUGAGCAAAAUAAUAACCAUUAAGGGUGCUGAUUUCCAAGACUCUGGAUCUGGUUCUGGUUUCCUGGAGUACUAAGGUACAGUUGAACUCCACUGCAAGCCACAUGGAUGCAUGGAAACAACAGUAUUUAGCUUCAAGCAUUCAGCAGCAAAUUAUGCACUGCUAAGUUUAUCUGUUUAUCAUGUGGCCAGCUGAAGAGGACAGGAUGGUAACUGCGACCUUAUUUGCCAAGUGCCGUCAUCUUGUGGGCCCUGCAUGUUCCUGUAAAUCAGGAGACUUCAGCUGUUUUCACACUGUGGAACCUCAGAGACCAACAGACACUAUAUUUUGAUGAGAUGUUACAUUUUGGGUUUUCAAACAUAGGUGAAUAACAGCAAUCAGUCAAAAUGACAAAUUACAAAUGGUUUUCCAAUUCCAGAGUGGUUCUAAAUUCAUCAACUUUCUACCCACUGCUUCCAGUGACAAGCACAGUUAAAUGGUUUGUUGAUUUGCAUUAAUUAAUUAAUUAAUUAAUUAAUUAAUUGUCUGUUGUUAUUACAUCACUGUUGUUUAUUGUUUAUCCAUUAGUUAAUAAAUGUUUGUGUAUAAUUACUGUCAGUUCUGUAUGUCUUUGUUUGGGGAACUAGAGGUCAAUGAAAUUAGAGUUUCUGACAUUUGUUUAUGAGACUGAUCAAUGUAAGCAGAUGUGAUUAAUUAAUGAUUGUGAACCUGACAUAUUCUUGAGAAAUGUCUCUUAGGUGGCCUAGAUCAACAAAACCUAAGAUGUGCCCCUGAUAAAUGAGUGCAAUUUUAAUCAUAAAGUGUAGUUUCUACAAUUAUGUGUUUCGGCCACAUUAGGCUCCACAUUUUUGAUACAAAUAACUAUAUUUCUACUUAUAAGGUUAUUUCCGCUACAUUUAAUUACAUUAAUAUCCUAUUUAUUGUACAGUUUUUGUGAACGUCAGUUUGUAAAUAUACAUUAAAAUACUGCAUAUUAAAAUACUGAUAGUGGAUAUUAAAAUAUCCUCACUGACUCACGAGUGAAGUUUUUGGCCACAGUGGGGCAGGUAAGGAAAAAUUUGAAUCUAUCAGCAAAGUAUUACAGAAAAAACAAAUUAGAUAGUAAAUGGUGAACAAAGUGGUGCAGACAGAGAAUAUUGGAUCUGUAUUCAUCAGGUGGACACAAAUAUAUAAAUUCCUAUAUUUUAUAUUCAAGGUGACCAUAAAUAAGCAACAGAUUCCAACCACAAUUACCAAAUUGUACUUUUUUGUUUGUACUGUACUGCUACUGUAACUUACAUGUACUAAUGUGUUGCAAACCCUAUAUUUUGUUGCAGUCUCAUCUUUUGUAUAUAAUGUUUCUCUGCAAUUUUUAAAAAACUGUGUAUAUAAUAUCAUACUAAACUGCCCUUAUACCCCUGUCUUUUGAGCUGGUGUAAUGUGAACUUUCCCCACUGUGGGAUCAAUAAAGUUUAUCUUAUCUUUAAAAAAAAACAAAAAACAAUGAAUGCAGGUGAACAUAUCAGUAUAAAGUGUAAUAAUGCAGCGAACCCCAAAAUUACAUAUAUUUAAAUCACUUUAUAAAAACAUUUAAAAUGCUGUUCAGUAUUUUUAUUUUUGUAUAACUGAUUUGCCAAAAAUAAAUGAUAGUCC
ensembl:lncRNA